rnacentral:rRNA from 1 species
AACGCUGGCGGCGUGCCUAAUACAUGCAAGUCGAGCGAACUGAUUAGAAGCUUGCUUCUAUGACGUUAGCGGCGGACGGGUGAGUAACACGUGGGCAACCUGCCUGUAAGACUGGGAUAACUUCGGGAAACCGAAGCUAAUACCGGAUAGGAUCUUCUCCUUCAUGGGAGAUGAUUGAAAGAUGGUUUCGGCUAUCACUUACAGAUGGGCCCGCGGUGCAUUAGCUAGUUGGUGAGGUAACGGCUCACCAAGGCAACGAUGCAUAGCCGACCUGAGAGGGUGAUCGGCCACACUGGGACUGAGACACGGCCCAGACUCCUACGGGAGGCAGCAGUAGGGAAUCUUCCGCAAUGGACGAAAGUCUGACGGAGCAACGCCGCGUGAGUGAUGAAGGCUUUCGGGUCGUAAAACUCUGUUGUUAGGGAAGAACAAGUACAAGAGUAACUGCUUGUACCUUGACGGUACCUAACCAGAAAGCCACGGCUAACUACGUGCCAGCAGCCGCGGUAAUACGUAGGUGGCAAGCGUUAUCCGGAAUUAUUGGGCGUAAAGCGCGCGCAGGCGGUUUCUUAAGUCUGAUGUGAAAGCCCACGGCUCAACCGUG